UCAAGUAAGAUCACCCGCUGAACUUAAGCAUAUCAGUAAGCGGAGGAAAAGAAACUAACUAGGAUUGCCCCAGUAGCGGCGAGUGAACAGGCAAAAGCUCAAAGUGAAAAUCCGUUGCAUAAAGUAAUGGAAUUGUAAUCUAGAGAGGUGUUCGGAGGUGAUCGGGCGUGGAAUAAGUUCCUUGGAACAGGACGUCAUAGAGGGUGAUAACCCCGUAGUCGUCUACGUCACGGACCCAACGAGCAUUUUCGAAGAGUCGGGUUGUUUGGGAUUGCAGCCCUAAAUGGGAGAUAAACUUCUUCUAAAGCUAAAUAUUUAUGGGAAACCGAUAGCGAACAAGUACUGCGAAGGAAAGGUGAAAAGAACUUUGAAAAGAGGGUUAAAAGACUUGAAAUCGUUGAGAAGAAAGUGGUAGAAGAGUAAUCAUUUGUGUACGAUAUUCGGGUUGCUUGGAGGAUUGGUAAGGCUUUAGUACUUCAUAGGCUGUGCUUUGCUAAAUCUGACUCGCUGCUUGUUAUUCGUAUGCAAGAGGCAAAAUGAGGUUAGUCGUCAGGAGUCGUCUAUUUAGAAGACCCUCGUGCUUGCAUGGGGAGCUAGGUAGAAAAACUGAAGACUAGUCUGAGGGGCCUGCGGGCGAUUUUGCCAAAGUGGCUUCUACUGUCCCGUCUUGGAACACGGACCAAGGAGUCUAACAGAUGUGCAAAUUUGUGGGUGCGCAAACCUGUUUGUGAAAUGAAAGUAUUGGCUGGGAUACUUGCACCAGCAGCCGACCAAUUGGCAGACAGAGGUUUGAGCUUGAGCAUAUCUAUUAGGACCCGAAAGAUGGUGAACUAUGCCUGAACAGAAUGAAUUCAGAGGAAACUCUGAUGGAGGUUCGUAUCGUUACUGACGUGCAAAUCGUUCGUCAUACUUGGGUAUAGGGGCG
rnacentral:rRNA from 14 species